rnacentral:rRNA from 1 species
UACGUAGGGCGCAAGCGUUGUCCGGAAUUAUUGGGCGUAAAGAGCUCGUAGGCGGUUUGUCGCGUCUGCUGUGAAAACCUAAGGCUCAACCUUGGGCUUGCAGUGGGUACGGGCAGACUAGAGUGCGGUAGGGGUGACUGGAAUUCCUGGUGUAGCGGUGGAAUGCGCAGAUAUCAUUUGGAACGCCAAUGGUGAAAACAGGUCGCUGGGAGUGUGCUGACGCUGGAGGCGCGACAG